GAUGAACGCUGGCGGCGUGCCUAAUACAUGCAAGCCGAGCGAACAGACGAGGAGCUUGCUCCUCUGACGUUAUCGGCGGACGGGUGAGUAACACGUGGAUAACCUACCUAUAAGACUGGGAUAACUUCGGGAAACCGGAGCUAAUACCGGAUAAUAUAUUGAACCGCAUGGUUCAAUAGUGAAAGACGGUUUUGCUGUCACUUAUAGAUGGAUCCGCGCCGCAUUAGCUAGUUGGUAAGGUAACGGCUUACCAAGGCAACGAUGCGUAGCCGACCUGAGAGGGUGAUCGGCCAGCCUGGAACUGAGACACGGUCCAGACUCCGACGGUAGGCAGCAGUAGGGAAUCUUCCGCAAUGGGCGAGAGCUUGACGGAGCAAAGCCGCGUGAGUGAUGAAGGUCUUCGGAUCGUAAAACUCUGUUAGUAGGGAAGAACAAAUGUGUAAGUAACUGUGCACGUAUUGACAGUACCUAAUCAGAAAGCCACGGCUAACUACGUG
rnacentral:rRNA from 1 species